UACGUAGGUGGCAAGCGUUGUUCGGAAUUACUGGGCGUAAAGGGCUCGUAGGCGGCCAACUAAGUCAGACGUGAAAUCCCCAGGCUUAACCUGGGAACUGCGUCUGAUACUGGAUGGCUUGAAUUCGGGAGAGGGAUGCAGAAUUCCAGGUGUAGCGGUGAAAUGCGUAGAUAUCUGGAGGAAUACCGGUGGCGAAGGCGGCAUCCUGGACCGAGAUUGACGCUGAUGAGCGAAAGCUAGGGGAGCAAACGGG
rnacentral:rRNA from 1 species